rnacentral:tRNA from 1 species
GCUGGAUUAGUUUAGUGGCAGAACCCCGGCUUUGUAACCCGGAUACGCGCGUCCGAUUCGUGCAUCCAGCGCCA